UACGAACUGUGCGAACGUUAUUCGGAAUCACUGGGCUUAAAGGGUGCGUAGGCGGUGUUCUAAGUCAGGUGUGAAAUCCCCCGGCUCAACCGGGGAAUUGCGCUUGAGACUGGAUCGCUAGAGUGAGGUAGGGGUGUGUGGAACUUCCGGUGGAGCGGUGAAAUGUGUAGAUAUCGGAAGGAACGCCGGUGGCGAAAGCGACACACUGGGCCUUGUCUGACGCUGAGGCACGAAAGCUAGGGUAGCGAACGGG
rnacentral:rRNA from 1 species